rnacentral:rRNA from 1 species
UACGUAGGGUGCAAGCGUUAAUCGGAAUUACUGGGCGUAAAGCGUGCGCAGGCGAUUAUGUAAGACAGAUGUGAAAUCCCCGGGCUCAACCUGGGAACUGCAUUUGUGACUGCAUAGCUAGAGUACGGUAGAGGGGGAUGGAAUUCCGCGUGUAGCAGUGAAAUGCGUAGAUAUGCGGAGGAACACCGAUGGCGAAGGCAAUCCCCUGGACCUGUACUGACGCUCAUGCACGAAAGCGUGGGGAGCAAACAGG